GAGGGAAGAUGAGAGGGGAGAAUGGGAAGGAGGAGUAACAAAAGUGAAAACAAAAACUAAAAACUGAAAUAUAUUUGAAAUUGUUUUCUGUUUUGUUACUCUUUCCUCUUAUCCUCCCCUCUCAUCUCUCUCU
rnacentral:miRNA from 1 species